UACGGAGGAUCCAAGCGUUAUCCGGAUUUAUUGGGUUUAAAGGGUGCGUAGGCGGGAUUUUAAGUCAGUGGUGAAAUCUCUCAGCUCAACUGAGAAACUGCCAUUGAUACUGAUAUCCUUGAGUUUGGCUGAAGUGGGCGGAAUGAGGCAUGUAGCGGUGAAAUGCAUAGAUAUGCCUCAGAACACCAAUUGCGAAGGCAGCUCACUAAACCAAUACUGACGCUGAGGCACGAAAGCGUGGGGAUCAAACAGG
rnacentral:rRNA from 1 species